rnacentral:tRNA from 2 species
CGGCAGGUAUGCAAAUUGGUGAAGCAAGCAGUCUGUAAAACUGUGACAUCAGAAACGUUGUGGGUCCGAGUCCCACCCUGCCGA